rnacentral:lncRNA from 1 species
AACUCGUAUGUAUAUAUAAUUCUUGUUGGGUAUAAAAUACCCCCAGCCAAAGUUUGUAAAAGACUGACCCUUCCAGGACUUUUCUGGCUUCCGACCUUGUAUGGCGUCUUUCUGAACCCCCUCGACCAUCCGAGCUUCCAUAAUACCAUCCAGACUUCUCCGACAAUGAGCUUCUCCAUUCAUCUACCGGGCUGCUCCAAAGGCUCUCUGGGCUUCACUAUCAGCUGAUCUUCUACAGUGAUCAACUAUUCUCCGAAUCCCUUCUAGACUUCUUCCGGUCAUGGAUGAUCCUACUCCAAACUUCUUUCAGACUUCAUCAAUAUCUGAGCUUCUCUGACAAUGAGAUUUCUACAGUAACCAAACUUUAUCCAAGUUUCUACGACGAUCGAUCGCCUUCCAGAUUCCACCCGAGCUCCUGUGAGAGUCAAACUUCUACAGCAAGCAGUCUACUCCGAACUCCUACUGCAGGCGGUCUACUUCGGAUAUCUACUUCGGGUUCCAGACGAGCUUCUACAAUGGGACAGGCUCCACCAGUCAGGUCACUACUUCGAGCUUCCACGACAAUCGAUCUUCGAUCGAGCUUCUACAAUAAGCGGCCUCCUUUCGGCCUUCUGCAAGAAUCGGACUCC